AAGUCGACCGCCUGGGGAGUACGGCCGCAAGGUUAAAACUCAAAUGAAUUGACGGGGGCCCGCACAAGCGGUGGAGCAUGUGGUUUAAUUCGAUGCAACGCGAAGAACCUUACCUGGUCUUGACAUCCACGGAAGUUUUCAGAGAUGAGAAUGUGCCUUCGGGAACCGUGAGACAGGUGCUGCAUGGCUGUCGUCAGCUCGUGUUGUGAAAUGUUGGGUUAAGUCCCGCAACGAGCGCAACCCUUAUCCUUUGUUGCCAGCGGUCCGGCCGGGAACUCAAAGGAGACUGCCAGUGAUAAACUGGAGGAAGGUGGGGAUGACGUCAAGUCAUCAUGGCCCUUACGACCAGGGCUACACACGUGCUACAAUGGCGCAUACAAAGAGAAGCGACCUCGCGAGAGCAAGCGGACCUCAUAAAGUGCGUCGUAGUCCGGAUUGGAGUCUGCAACUCGACUCCAUGAAGUCGGAAU
rnacentral:rRNA from 1 species